GCCCUAGAUAGUAUCUAAGGUGUAACCUGCCCAGUGGUUUCUAAUACAAGAAAUAAAAAUUCUAUAAAGAAACUAAAAGGACGCGGUAACCUUGACCGUGGUAAUGUAGCAUAAUCACUCGCCAUUUAAUUGGUGGAUAGUAUGAAUGGUUGAACGAAUAUUCCGCUGUCUUAGAAAGAAGCACAAGAAAUUGAAAUAAUAGUUAAGAUGCUAUUUUUAACUGUAAGACGAAAAGACCCUAUAGAGCUUAACUAUAAUCUUCUUAUCAUAAAAGAAAAUAAAUUCUAUAUUUAAGAAGAUUGGUAGUUUAGUUGGGGCGACUGUCUUUUAUAACAAACAAAGACAAGCAAUGUUAAUAAAAAACUUAUUGUAUAACUAAAAUGUUUAACAAUUAUAAAAAUAGGCUAUAAUGACCCGUUAUUACUCUAUAAAAAGAAUAACGAUCAAUUAAUAAAAGCUACCUUAGGGAUAACAGGAUAAUUUCAUUUUAGAGUUCCUAUCGAAAAUGAAGUUUGUCACCUCUAUGUUGAAUUAAGAUAUCCUGAUAAUGCAGCAGUUAUCAAAGGUAGGUCUGUUCGACCUUUAAAAUCUU
rnacentral:rRNA from 1 species